rnacentral:lncRNA from 1 species
GCCGGGAUCUAGGAGUGAACCAAGAGAUCAUUAGGGGUCUGCUCCACCUGCCCUCUUCACAGCAAAGCCUGCCCAUCAAUUCUGCACUUGUUUCUUGGGCCGGAAGUCGUGGACAGUGACCGAGACCUGAAUAUUCCCUUGUCCUCCGUGGGCCUCCAGCACCACAGUCUCCUCGCUCUCCAGACGCAGGACGUUGGGGUGAUCAUGGAAUACCUGCCGGAGGGGAGCAUGGGGCGUGGAGCUGUCAUGCCCGGAAGCCCGAGCAGCCAACCCUUCCCCAGGGGCAAGGAGAGCCUGGAAUUCCCUUCACCUAAUCUCGUCAAGAGGCCUGAGUGGCUAAAAAGUCAUAAUUGAGGAAAAUCCCACGGCUAGCUUUUGUUACAUCAACGCCUUCUUAGGGGAGGGAGGUUCAAGAGGGAUGGGACAUGUGUAUACCUAUGGCUGAUUCAUGUUUAUGUAUGGCAGAAACCAACACAACAUUGUAAAGCAAUUAUCCUCCAAUUAAAAAAUAAAUUUAAAAACAUCCUCGGGAUAUUAUUAUUGUUAAAAAUUGUAUUUAACCUGUUGCAUACGAAUUGGUAAUAUAGUCAUAUGGUUCAAUAUCUAAAAGGUAACCUUCCUCCUGCUCUUGUUGCUAGCCAUUAGGGUCUCAGACAUGACCCUGUAACCAAGUCUCACGUUUCUCUCCAGAGGUAUAUUAUACAUUUACAAACAUUCACACGUUUCAAAAACAAAUAUCAGAAAGCUCUACACACUCUUCUUCCUGGUCUCCGUGGGUUACACCUUGCUUUUUCAUAAACAAUAUACAGUAGAGAUUGUCUCACUAUCAGAGCACAGAGAGCUUUCUUGUUCUUACAGGCAGUGAAAGUAACCAGUCUUCUACUGAUGGACAGACAGACUUCCUAUUCUUACAAAACCAUGCUCCCUCCAAAGAGUAAUCUGCAUUAUUGCCCAGUUCUCAUGAUUGUUAACUGGUAAACCUUGGAGAAAUUACUGAUAACCACUUGAGCCUCAGUUUCCUCCUGUAAAGGGGUUAUAACAGCAAGCAACUUCAAAGGGUUCUUACUACAAUGAGAAAAGAUAAUUCUGAUCAAAGGCUGUGUUUUAACAGUAAACUUGCUAGAUAUCGCUAAAUUCCCC